AUGACAGCGAUCAUGGCAGCGCGUGGGCAGGGGCAGGUGCAAGAUUUCGACUUCUUCGUGGUGGUGGACUUCGAGGCGACGUGCAUGAAAGACGGGAGGAUCUUCCCACAGGAAAUCAUCGAGUUCCCCGCCGUGCUCGUCGACGGCGCCACCGGCCGCAUCGAGUCGGUGCUUCGCAGGUACAUUCUUCCAAAACAUCAACAUGUGCUGACUCAAUUUUGCAGGGAACUCACUUGCAUCCGGCAGGAGGACGUGGACGGCGGCGUGGAACUCGGCGAGGCGCUCUAG
rnacentral:rRNA from 1 species